AGAGUUGAUCAUGGCUCAGGACGAACGCUGGCGGCACGCUUAACACAUGCAAGUCGAACGGAGUUAAAUCGGAGCUUGCUUUGAUUUAACUAGUGGCGGACGGGUGAGUAACACGUGAGCAACCUGCCUUUGAGAGUGGAAUAGCUUCUGGAAACGGAUGGUAAUACCGCAUAACAUUACCGGAUCGCAUGAUCUGGUAAUCAAAGAUUUAUCGCUCAAAGAUGGGCUCGCGUCUGAUUAGAUAGUUGGUGGGGUAACGGCCUACCAAGUCGACGAUCAGUAGCCGGACUGAGAGGUUGAACGGCCACAUUGGGACUGAGACACGGCCCAGACUCCUACGGGAGGCAGCAGUGGGGAAUAUUGCACAAUGGGCGGAAGCCUGAUGCAGCGAUGCCGCGUGGAGGAAGAAGGUUUUCGGAUUGUAAACUCCUGAUCUGAGGGACGAUAAUGACGGUACCUCAGGAGAAAGCUCCGGCUAACUACGUGCCAGCAGCAGC
rnacentral:rRNA from 1 species